rnacentral:rRNA from 1 species
AUGAACGCUGGCGGCGUGCCUCAUACAUGCAAGUCGAGCGCACGGACGAGAAGCUUGCUUCUCUGAUGUUAGCGGCGGACGGGUGAGUAACACGUGGAUAACCUACCUAUAAGACUGGGAUAACUUCGGGAAACCGGAGCUAAUACCGGAUGAUAUUUUGAACCGCAUGGUUCAAAAGUGAAAGACGGUCUUGCUGUCACUUAUAGAUGGAUCCGCGCUGCAUUAGCUAGUUGGUAAGGUAACGGCUUACCAAGGCAACGAUGCAUAGCCGAUCUGAGAGGGUGAUCGGCCACACUGGAACUGAGACACGGUCCAGACUCCUACGGGAGGCAGCAGUAGGGAAUCUUCCGCAAUGGGCGAAAGCCUGACGGAGCAACGCCGCGUGAGUGAUGAAGGUCUUCGGAUCGUAAAACUCUGUUAUUAGGGAAGAACAUAUGUGUAAGUAACUGUGCACAUCUUGACGGUACCUAAUCAGAAAGCCACGGCUAACUACGUG